UUAGAGAAAACAACACAUCAAUAUAAUCAAAACAAGCACACAUCACCCAAGAUAAUAGAGAAAAUCAAAUCAAUCAUGAAAUGCUCAUAUUUUCGUGUCAUGCUUCGCGAAGUCAUUACAACUUCCAUCUCUAAAGGCAGAUACAGAUAACCGCAAUUUUCUCAAGCACAUUUCUGCCUCGCCAAACUAUGGUACGAUCUAUGACCACGAUCGUACCGACCAUAGUGAUCCUAUCAGAUAUUUUAUAGUCACGAU
rnacentral:lncRNA from 1 species